AUGGAGAGAGAAAUUGCAGGAUGCAGUAUUAUGGAGAGAGAGAUUGCAGGAUGGAGUAUUAUGGAGAGAGAGUAUACAGGGUGGAGUAUUAUGGAGAGAGAGAGUAUACAGGGUGGAGUAUUAUGGAGAGAGAGAGUUUACAGGAUGGAGUAUUAUGGAGAGACAGAGUUUACAGGAUAGGAUGGAUAUUAUGGAGAGAGAGAGUUUACAGGAUGGAUAUUAUGGAGAGAGAGAGUUUACAGGAUGGAGUAUUAUGGAGAGAGAGAUUGCAGGAUGGAGUAUUAUGGAGAGAGAGUAUACAGGGUGGAGUAUUAUGGAGAGAGAGUUUACAGCAUGAGUAUUAUGGAGAGGGAGAGUUUACAGGAUGGAGUAUUAUGGAGAGAGUGUUUAUAGGAUGGAGUAUUAUGGAGAGAGAGUUUACAGAGUGGAGUAUUAUGGAGAGAGAGUUUACAGGAUGGAGUAUUAUGGAGAGAGAGAGUUUCCAGGAUGGAGUAUUAUGGAGAGAGAGAGUUUACAGCAUGAGUAUUAUGGAGAGAGAGUUUACAGGAUGAAGUAUUAUGGAGAGAGAGAGUUUACAGGAUGGAGUAUUAUGGAGAGAGAGAGUUUCCAGGAUGGAGUAUUAUGGAGAGAGAGAGUUUCCAGGAUGGAGUAUUAUGGAGAGAGAGUUUACAGCAUGAGUAUUAUGGAGAGAGAGUUUACAGGAUGAAGUAUUAUGGAGAGAGUAUUUAUAGGAUGGAGUAUUAUGGAGAGAGAGUUUACAGGAUGGAGUAUUAUGGAGAGAGAGUUUACAGGAUGGAAUAUCUGUGGAGAGAGAGGGCUCCAUAGAUCUGCAGAGGGUAACUUUUGAGUAUUCAUUUGAGUACUUACCACUUGCUUAUCCACUGUGUGAGGAAACUACUUGAGGUCAAAAAUAAAAAAAGAAAAGAAGGGAAAAAGAA